GAAAUGCGAUACGUAAUGCGAAUUGCAGAAUUCAGUGAAUCAUCAAAUCUUUGAACGCAGAUGGCACUGUCGGGAUCUCCUGGCAGUACGUUUCUUUCAGCGUCGUUUCAACAACACUCAGGCUGCGCCUUUGCGGGCAUAGACCUGGACUUUGAGUGUUCACGCUCUGUCACGGGGUGUGUCACUUCAAAUUAAGCGGAACGACAUGUGCUUAAGCACACUGUACCAAGUAUUUGACAGUGACGUGGGUAAUUUCACUUACGUGAAUCUUAACGUGGCUGUUCGAUGAAAGGCACAUGUGCGGCUGAGCGCAAGGGUCUAACCGAUAGUCGACGGUACUCGAACCUUCAACAAAUCAUUUCGACUCAGACCUGAAAUGAAGCGUGAAUACCCGCCGAAC
rnacentral:misc_RNA from 1 species